CAUUGUUUAAUUUUUAUCUGAUGGGUUAAUACACCAGGAAGCAACACUGCCAGGUUUGAGUGAGGCUAGCCCUCGGCAGAGGCCCUUCCAUGGCUCUGGUAUUUAAGCAUCUUUAUGGCCUCUGCUUCUGUAUGGUUGUAUGUUGUAUGAAGUGGCUUCCUAUAGAGUCCUACUACAAAGUCUGUGGGACAGCUUAGGAGAGGGGGAUGUUCUGGUUCUCAGUGUCCCUAAGGCCUACAUGAUUUAUCACCAGGAAGAGGCUCUUGGCAACUGGCAUGUUGCCUUCAUUCGUUAGAACUCCACAGUAACCCGCUUUAGCCUUUGGUUUUGUCUUGACCCCAGAAAGCUCUUGUUAAGUAAACUCAGUUCUGAGAGGAACCAUAUUUUCCUUCAUCCUCCGGGCUUCUGGGUGGGCCUGUGUGGCCCCGUUUCCGGGCAUUUAGUCUGUAACACCCCCAUGGCAUGGUAGAGUGAACAGGCUUUAUGCUGUCAUAGUACUGACACAGGAAGAUACACUGCAGUUUUGUGCUUCAAAGGAACCCACAAGAAUAGGCUCUGCGGUCCUAAGUUCACAGACCCCGAAAACACAUGGUGUAAUUGGUCAAGUGAAGACUUCCUGAAGAUAGGCCUCUGUGAUCUACAGGAUAAAACAUGGAUCAAAUAAAAUCUGAGAUUUCUCUC